rnacentral:rRNA from 1 species
CUGCGGAGGAUCAUUACUAGAGCAAAGGAUAGACAGCGCCCGCGGAGCUUGCUCCCUGGGGCUACCCUACUUCGGUAGGGUUUAGAGUCGUCGGGCCUCUCGAAGAAGCUCGGUCCUGAACUCCACCCUUGAAUAAAUUACCUUUGUUGCUUUGGCGGGCCGCCUCGUGCCAGCGGCUUCGGCUGUUGCGUGCCCGCCAGAGGACCACAACUCUUGUUUUUAGUGAUGUCUGAGUACUAUUUAAUAGUUAAAACUUUCAACAACGGAUCUCUUGGUUCUGGCAUCGAUGAAGAACGCAGCGAAAUGCGAUAAGUAAUGUGAAUUGCAGAAUUCAGUGAAUCAUCGAAUCUUUGAACGCACAUUGCGCCCUCUGGUAUUCCGGGGGGCAUGCCUGUUCGAGCGUCAUUAUAACCACUCAAGCUCUCGCUUGGUAUUGGGGUUCGCGGUCUCGCGGCCCCUAAAAUCAGUGGCGGUGCCUGUCGGCUCUACGCGUAGUAAUACUCCUCGCGAUUGAGUCCGGUAGGUUUACUUGCCAGCAACCCCUAAUUUUUACAGGUUGACCUCGGAUCAGGUAGGGAUACCCGCUGAACUUAAGCAUAUC